UCUAUGUUGCCUUCAUAUGCCAGUCACCAAAACUUAGCUGUUACAUUGCGGAGGAAACGGAAACUUGUUGCAUUUAAUAUGGUACCCUGGCACAAGGAAAUUAAUAAUGACCAGUUGUGGCCCCAAGAUAUCAGCACUGCUGAGUUAUCAUGGGCACAAGCUGCAAACAAAAGAGAAGAAGAGGUGAUUUCUGAGGCUGAAAUUGUAGAAGAGUUGCACCCAGUGAUUCAAGCAAAAAGACGGUUGAUUUGUUGUACGCAAUUUAUGCAACAAAUCUUUCGACCUGCACCAUCAGUUAUUAUUGUAUGGA